UGCUUCCGAGUUUUAAUGAAUUUCACUUACUCAUAUUAAUAUUUUCACUAUUAUAUGUAUACCCACACAAUAUUAAAAAUUCUUUGAGCCAAAAAUUCUUUUAUAAAAUUUCACGAUGCUUUUUGCAUUAAUCAUCUUUUCAUUUAAGGGUUUGCUUAAUUCUCUUAAUUUUUUAUCUCGUCAAGUCAUAUCAAUUUCUUUAUAUUCAUCAAUCAUUACAUAUGCACGUGGCCUUCUUCUUCUUCUUCCACCACGUGGCCGGCUCUCCUUUGUCGCCGCUCACCCGCCACAUCUCUCUCCUCCUUUCAUGCGGCCAAGCUUCCUCGGCUACUCACCGUCUCGCAUGUCGACCACCGCCUCUCCUGCUCGGCAACGAUCUCCCACUGCACCAUUUCUCUCUCUCGACUGCCUCCCUUGUGGCUAGGUUUCCUCCCUC
rnacentral:lncRNA from 1 species